rnacentral:snRNA from 1 species
UUGCUUCAGCAGCACAUAUACUAAAAUCGGAAUGAUACAGAGAAGACUAGCAUGGCCCCUGCACAAGGCUGACAUGCAAAUUCGUGAAGUCUUCCAUAUUUUU